AGCCCUCUGUAUCCGUGCUGAGCUUUCGCCACACACCAGACCACAAGGGCUGAUGAGACUUCCAAAAUAAGUGAAGUG
rnacentral:pre_miRNA from 1 species